rnacentral:rRNA from 1 species
GGGUUGUGAGGUUAAGCGACUAAGCGUACACGGUGGAUGCCCUGGCAGUCAGAGGCGAUGAAGGACGUGCUAAUCUGCGAAAAGCGUCGGUAAGGUGAUAUGAACCGUUAUAACCGGCGAUGUCCGAAUGGGGAAACCCAGUGCAAUUCGUUGCACUAUCGUUAACUGAAUACAUAGGUUAACGAGGCGAACCGGGGGAACUGAAACAUCUAAGUACCCCGAGGAAAAGAAAUCAACCGAGAUUCCCCCAGUAGCGGCGAGCGAACGGGGAGCAGCCCAGAGUCUGAAUCAGCUUGUGUGUUAGUGGAACGGUCUGGAAAGUCCGACGGUACAGGGUGAUAGUCCCGUACACCAAAAUGCACAGGCUGUGAACUCGAAGAGUAGGGCGGGACACGUGGUAUCCUGUCUGAAUAUGGGGGGACCAUCCUCCAAGGCUAAAUACUCCUGACUGACCGAUAGUGAACCAGUACCGUGAGGGAAAGGCGAAAAGAACCCCGGCGAGGGGAGUGAAAAAGAACCUGAAACCGUGUACGUACAAGCAGUGGGAGCACCUUCGGGUGUGACUGCGUACCUUUUGUAUAAUGGGUCAGCGACUUAUAUUCUGUAGCAAGGUUAACCGUAUAGGGGAGCCGCAGGGAAACCGAGUCUUAACUGGGCGUUAAGUUGCAGGGUAUAGACCCGAAACCCGGUGAUCUAGCCAUGGGCAGGUUGAAGGUUGGGUAACACUAACUGGAGGACCGAACCGACUAAUGUUGAAAAAUUAGCGGAUGACUUGUGGCUGGGGGUGAAAGGCCAAUCAAACCGGGAGAUAGCUGGUUCUCCCCGAAAGCUAUUUAGGUAGCGCCUCGUGAACUCAUCUUCGGGGGUAGAGCACUGUUUCGGCUAGGGGGUCAUCCCGACUUACCAACCCGAUGCAAACUACGAAUACCGAAGAAUGUUAUCACGGGAGACACACGGCGGGUGCUAACGUCCGUCGUGAAGAGGGAAACAACCCAGACCGCCAGCUAAGGUCCCAAAGUCAUGGUUAAGUGGGAAACGAUGUGGGAAGGCACAGACAGCCAGGAUGUUGGCUUAGAAGCAGCCAUCAUUUAAAGAAAGCGUAAUAGCUCACUGGUCGAGUCGGCCUGCGCGGAAGAUGUAACGGGGCUAAACCAUGCACCGAAGCUGCGGCAGCGACACUAUGUGUUGUUGGGUAGGGGAGCGUUCUGUAAGCCUGCGAAGGUGUGCUGUGAGGCAUGCUGGAGGUAUCAGAAGUGCGAAUGCUGACAUAAGUAACGAUAAAGCGGGUGAAAAGCCCGCUCGCCGGAAGACCAAGGGUUCCUGUCCAACGUUAAUCGGGGCAGGGUGAGUCGACCCCUAAGGCGAGGCCGAAAGGCGUAGUCGAUGGGAAACAGGUUAAUAUUCCUGUACUUGGUGUUACUGCGAAGGGGGGACGGAGAAGGCUAUGUUAGCCGGGCGACGGUUGUCCCGGUUUAAGCAUGUAGGCUGGUUGUCCAGGCAAAUCCGGAUAAUCAAGGCUGAGGUGUGAUGACGAGGCACUACGGUGCUGAAGUAACAAAUGCCCUGCUUCCAGGAAAAGCCUCUAAGCAUCAGGUAACAUUAAAUCGUACCCCAAACCGACACAGGUGGUCAGGUAGAGAAUACCAAGGCGCUUGAGAGAACUCGGGUGAAGGAACUAGGCAAAAUGGUGCCGUAACUUCGGGAGAAGGCACGCUGAUAUGUAGGUGAAGCCCCUGCGGGUGGAGCUGAAAUCAGUCGAAGAUACCAGCUGGCUGCAACUGUUUAUUAAAAACACAGCACUGUGCAAACACGAAAGUGGACGUAUACGGUGUGACGCCUGCCCGGUGCCGGAAGGUUAAUUGAUGGGGUUAUCCGUAAGGAGAAGCUCUUGAUCGAAGCCCCGGUAAACGGCGGCCGUAACUAUAACGGUCCUAAGGUAGCGAAAUUCCUUGUCGGGUAAGUUCCGACCUGCACGAAUGGCGUAAUGAUGGCCAGGCUGUCUCCACCCGAGACUCAGUGAAAUUGAACUCGCUGUGAAGAUGCAGUGUACCCGCGGCAAGACGGAAAGACCCCGUGAACCUUUACUAUAGCUUGACACUGAACAUUGAGCCUUGAUGUGUAGGAUAGGUGGGAGGCUUUGAAGCGUGGACGCCAGUCUGCGUGGAGCCAACCUUGAAAUACCACCCUUUAAUGUUUGAUGUUCUAACGUUGGCCCCUUACCGGGGUUGCGGACAGUGUCUGGUGGGUAGUUUGACUGGGGCGGUCUCCUCCCAAAGCGUAACGGAGGAGCACGAAGGUUAGCUAAUCCUGGUCGGACAUCAGGAGGUUAGUGCAAUGGCAUAAGCUAGCUUGACUGCGAGCGUGACGGCGCGAGCAGGUGCGAAAGCAGGUCAUAGUGAUCCGGUGGUUCUGAAUGGAAGGGCCAUCGCUCAACGGAUAAAAGGUACUCCGGGGAUAACAGGCUGAUACCGCCCAAGAGUUCAUAUCGACGGCGGUGUUUGGCACCUCGAUGUCGGCUCAUCACAUCCUGGGGCUGAAGUAGGUCCCAAGGGUAUGGCUGUUCGCCAUUUAAAGUGGUACGCGAGCUGGGUUUAGAACGUCGUGAGACAGUUCGGUCCCUAUCUGCCGUGGGCGCUGGAGAAUUGAGGGGGGCUGCUCCUAGUACGAGAGGACCGGAGUGGACGCAUCACUGGUGUUCGGGUUGUCAUGCCAAUGGCACUGCCCGGUAGCUAAAUGCGGAAGAGAUAAGUGCUGAAAGCAUCUAAGCACGAAACUUGCCCCGAGAUGAGUUCUCCCUGAGACUUUAAGUCUCCUGAAGGAACGUUAAAGACGAUGACGUUGAUAGGCCGGGUGUGUAAGCGCAGCGAUGCGUUGAGCUAACCGGUACUAAUGAACCGUGAGGCUUAACCUUACAACGCCGAAG